CUCCGUUCUUACCCCUUCGUGGAACCUGGUUGCGGAGAAGAUCGACCUUCCCUCAUCUUUUCUACAAGGCAUCGAUCCUCAACGACAUUACCUACUCGAGACCAUCAUGAGCAGGGUGGAGGAAGCUCAAAUAUCUCUGCAAAACAAGGCGUCCCUCAAGCCGGUUCCGAUCGAUCUUUUCAUCAGGCAAUUUCCGCGGCCCUCCCUCCCACAAGACGAGCCCGCAGUCUUCUCGCACAUGUCCUUGAGUACGUCGUUGCUGGUCCUGGGAUUCGCUGGACCCUUCCUUUUCCGUGUCAGCAGCG